CAGUUAAGUUUUGUGCGGUUCGCAAUGUUGGCCGCCACAUUGUUUUUUACUUUGUGACAUUACCAAUUUUAAGCGCCUUUGUCAAAAUAACAAAAUAGAACUCUGCGGAAUCUACACGGAUAAAGUUUGAGGGUUGACAGUGUUCACAACCACAUUGAUUUAAACCUUGUAAUGUUAGCAACUUUGAGGACCUUUGUCAAAAUAACAAAGAAUAACUCUGCGAAAUCUUCACAGUUAAGUUUUGUGCGGUUCGCAAUGUUGGCCGCCACAUUGUUUUUUACUUUGUGAUAUUAGCAACUUCAAGAGCUUUUGUCAAAAUAACAAAAUAGAACUCUGCGGAAUCUACACGGCUAAAGUUUGGAGGUUGACAGUGUUCACAACCACAUUGAUUAAUACCUUGUGAUUUUAGCAACUUUGAGAGAGCCUUUGUCAAAAUCACAAAAGAGAACUCUUAACUACAAAUUUUAAGUUGAUUUACAAUGUUUGCAGGUGUUACAAGGGUAAAUAAUCCAAUAAUAGGUUUUUGUUUUAACCUUUUCACCGCCAAAGACGGAAAAUCACGUCAGCGGAAAGUCGUACCACUGACGCCACGACAUUUGCUCCUAUUAGAAAACCAUACAUUUGGUUUAUUGCUUGGCGUCUGGUCUGAGUCACGUCGAAUUACUUCGCUGCUUGGCGUUGAAACGGUUAAGACAUAUUAAAUAUACUAGCUGUUGCCCGCGACUUCGUACGCGUGGAUUUGUAUGUUGGUGGUUAUAUAUUUUAAAUGAGCAUAGAACAUUAUGCAGCAAAAGAUAUCAGUAGGGACGGUAAAUCAUUUGUUAAUAAUUAUACAGCGCAUGAAAUUUGUCUUUCACAAAGUACAAAGUUUCAAGCCCCUAGCUGAAAAAAAUUGUUCUCGAUAUAAACCCUCUCAACACUCAGAUUUUCAAGUCCACUAUUUAAAAAAAAUGUUCGCUCCCACUGCAAACUUUAUUAAUACAAACUUUUCAAACACGGUGCAAUCAGUUUUCGUCUAUUUUAAUAUAAUGCCCUUUUACCAAGUUUCAUGUUCCUAGCUAAAACGAAAACUUGUACUACAUAUAAACUUAUAUACAUCCCCUUUUUAACACCCUUAAGGGUAGAAUUAUUAAGAACGUUGAAAUAACCUUUUUUGUAAUAUUAUACAAUGCCUUUCUGAGAAAUUUCAAUAAGCAUUUGUAAUGAAUUCAAACUUUCAACCCCUUUUUAACUCUUUUAAGGGAUGAAUAUUUAAAAACGCUUAAAUUACUUUUCUUGUAUUCUAAUAAUAUGCCUUCAUACAAAGACUUCUUAGUCCUGUACUCAAAAAAAGGUUUGAUCUCCAUACAAACUAUCAAAUAGGGCUUACAAGUUACAAGGGAAGCUUACAAGUUUCCACACAUUUUUUUUUUCGUGGUUGGGUAGAUAAUGUGUUUGUGUUCCAAAAAUUGGUAAUUUCUAGAAAAAGGCUUCGUUUUUGGGACAUGGUGUUGUAUAACUUUUUAAUGUGGAAUUUAACAAGCUUUCGUUUCGCUAUACACAGUAUUCACAUUAAACCCAGAUAUUCCGAGAAAAAAAGAAAAACCAAAAAAGACUUAUACUUUUCAAGAUGGCGUUUGAUCCCCGUGGACCCGAAGCUCCAAUUUUAUGACACGCAAACAGGGAUCCCUGAAAUUGUAGGUGUCAAAUUUCAUUACUGUCACUAUUAUUUAAACCCCAUUUAAGACCUAAAAUCUGUUUUUGUAGUCACAUUUUUAAGUUUUACACAUUUUUCCUCCACUUAUUUUAGUAAAUUUGUAUUGCAUAGCACUCGUGUACUAAUUAUGGAUCUACUGAUGUCUAUUUGAUUGAAAUCCACUCAAUAGUUUAGGCGCUAGAAGUAAAAAUAUGAUUUACUAUUCGGCGGCUAUUCAAGGCGGCUGUAUUAAUUUUGUCUGAGUCGUAGCACGGUACGCUUAUCACCAUGCCUGUCACGUUCUAACAAGUAUGUGAGUGCGAAAGUGACGGACUUAGUGAUAGGGGAAACCAUGCUGCGCGGGCUCUAGAUUUAGCGACAGCGUCAGUGACAACGUCAUGCUCGCGGCCCGCCAGCGCCGCGCUCACAACCCGCCCGCACCGAUCUCUCUAGAUAAGCAAUUAUUACCUAAAAUAGUUUUUAAUCUAACUGCUCUUUGAAUCUGUCAAAUGCUCACACAUAAUAAAUUAUAACCUUCUGUACGUACUACGUGCUGCCCGCACAGCAUGGUUUCCCCUAUCACUAAGUCCGUCACUUUCGCACUCACAUACUUGUUAGAACGUGACAGGCAUGGUGAUAAGCGUACCGUGCUAUGACUCCACUCUCCAGGUUUGCAGUUUUUUAUAAGGAACAACGUACUUAAUUAUUAUUAUUUGUACUUAGUACCUACUUACUAAUGCCUUUACCCUAAAAACGGAAUUCUAAGAAAGGUAUUUGAUUGCUCAAGUCGCAAUGUUAGAAUUGCGGAAUUUACAAGGGAAAAAUUUCUCAAGUUAAUAAUUUCACAACUUUUACAUUGCGAAAUAAUAUAAGCAUUGCUAGAAACACAAUGUUAACUUUGUUAAAAUAGUGAUGUUGACUAGUCCUUUGCAAAAUUGACAAAAGAAUCGUUCAUUUCGCUGGCAACAUUCGUACGGUUAGGAUGCGUGACAAAUCGCUAACAACGGAACGUAUUUAUUUAGUGAUUAUUAUUGUCUUUUCAAACAACGAACCGUUCACGUUGUUAAAAAUAUAAGGAAAUAGUUUCUUUAAAGUUAAGACAGUUAUAGGUAAAUAGUAAAUAUAAAGGAUGGACGACUUAAGUGUGUUUCUGUUCAACUGUGAUUUGAUACACCUUUUUGGAUCGCUAAACGAGAGGAGUUACAAAAGAUCCGAGGGAUGUAGAUGUACAGCAAGUUAUAGCUCCAAUUAAAAAGCAAGACUCCUUUGUGAUUCCAUCAAGUAGCCAAAAAUCUAGUACAUCCUCUGUUGUUACAACAUCAACUGAAUUAUUGGUAAUUAUAAUAAUAUUUAUCUUUACUCUGUAUUUAAGGUGGAUCAUGUUUUUGUUAUGCAGAGGGAGUCAACUGUCUGUUCAAUCCCCGGUCAGGGCAAAUAUUUGUGUGAUAAACACGAGUAUUUGUUCCUGAGUCUUAGGUGUUUUCUAUGUAUUAAACUAUAUAAGUAUUUAUAUCGUCACUAGUACCCAUAUUACAAGUAGGCCAGGAAAUAAAUACAUUUCACAGAAUAAUUAUAUUAAGGUACAUUAUUAUUUUGGGUCAAAUUAUUUCAACUUAUUUUAAUACGAAUUACUCCGACUAAUUUAUAAUACAUUUAAUUAUAAUCAUAUAUUUUUAGGGUUCCGUACCCAAAGGGUAAAAACGGGACCCUAUUACUAAGACUCCGC